AGAGAGAAAGAAAAUGGGUUGGGGAAGAAAGAACAAUUAGCUUGAUAUUUCAAGUGCAGCCGCGUUUGUUUCUUUUUCUUUCUUCUACGUCAGCCAUCGCUUAAUUUCUGUCAUUUUC
rnacentral:ribozyme from 12 species